rnacentral:lncRNA from 1 species
ACGGCAGGAAGUAAAUUUGGGGAAGUAGUACUAAUAGGCAGCAGCAAUGGGUGAUGUUGUGCAGCCAAACUAGAUCCUCCGGCUAAUGCAUUCACAUUUUGGUGUUGCGCUUGCUGCUGAAUGGGAAGGGAUCCAACCAAACUCUGUGGUGGCGGAGGAAAACGUUGCUGUUGAAAAUGAGAAACUCCUCCUGAGGACCCAACUAAUCCUGGCCAAUAAUUAGGCACAGCAGGCCCACUGAUAUUUAAAGGUGGCGGAGGAAGUGACGAGCCCCAAAGGCUAGAACUUGGCAGCAACGGAUUGGGGGGCAGAUUCACUAAUAAAGGUG